rnacentral:lncRNA from 1 species
UGGAAAAAGUCUCCUUGGAAGAGCUGCUCUGCUGAGUGCAGAGCUGCUAAAGUGUUUCCCACAGUGGCUGAAGCAUUUUACAUUCCCACCUGCGAUGCACAAGAGUUCCAGUUUCUCCACAUUCUUGCCAAUAUUUAUUUUUUGUUUUUUUCUGGAAUUGUUAUAGCCAUUUUUGUUGGCAUAAAGUUGUACCUCAUUGUGGUUUUGAUUGGUAUUAUCCUCAUGACCAAGGAUGCUGAGCAUCUUUUCAUGUGCUUGUUGGACAUUUGUAUGUUUUCUUUGGAGAGAUGUCUCUUCAAAUCCUUUGCCCAUUUUGAAAUUGUGCUGUCUGUUUUCUUAUUGUUGAAUUGUAUGUGUUUUUAAUAUAUUCUGGAUACAGAACCCUACG